rnacentral:rRNA from 1 species
UACGAAGGGGGCUAGCGUUGCUCGGAAUUACUGGGCGUAAAGCGCACGUAGGCGGAUUGUUAAGUCGGGGGUGAAAUCCUGGAGCUCAACUCCAGAACUGCCUUUGAUACUGGAGAGCUUGAGUCCGGAAGAGGUGAGUGGAACUCCGAGUGUAGAGGUGAAAUUCGUAGAUAUUCGGAAGAACACCAGUGGCGAAGGCGGCUCACUGGUCCGGUACUGACGCUGAUGUGCGAAAGCGUGGGGAGCAAACAGG